UUCAAUCUGAUUUUUCUAAAACAUACAAAACAUUUUCACAUUAAUGUCAAUCAUUAUUUUGUUGUCAAAUUUAUUUAAAUAAUUUCUUUUACUUUAUUUUAAUUAAUAAAAUGAAUAUUUCAAGAGGUGAACGAAGUAUUCCUUGGAGUGAAAGAUCUUGUAGUGAAAAACUGAAGAUUUCCGGAGCAAUUUUAUUUAUCGUACUCUUUUUGGCAAAGAUAAUUGUGCUUGUUGUGUAUUUUGGAGUUAUAAGAAGAGAACAAACUUGAAAACAAGCUUAUAAUAUUCUAUAGUUUUAUAUGUAA